CCCCUUGUCCUAUUGCAACAGGCCCUGCUCAAAAGUCUGUCUCUACCUUAUAGGCCCCUCUUAAGUUCUGAAAGGCCACAAUGAAUAUGAGUAACAGGUUCUUGAGAGGUUUUGGUGGCUGGUUCAGCAGAUCCAGGAAAAGACUAAGAACACGUUAAGUGGUUUAGGUUUAGAGAUAAUACUGCUGGGAUAAGGCCAAGGGACAAAACCAACAUGGAAACCGAACACCUUGAGCUUUGAGGUGGUUCUUCAAGGCAAAUACAGCAAUUACAACUCCAUGCAGCCUGGACCAGACUGGUACUUGUCAUCACCAAUAAUUUACCAUGUACGAAAAUCUCUUUGCGAACCUACUUCAUAUGGACUAGAAAUGAAUUUGUCUCAGCCAUCUCCACUCACCCAGCUCUGACAGUGCUGGGUUAACGGUUGGACUCGAUGGUCUUGAGGGUCUCUUCCAACCAAAAUGAUUCUAUGUGCAAGCUUAAAAUCACGCAGGGUUCUGUCUUUCUCCUUGGAGAGCUUCACUGGUGCCUGCAAAGAGCUCUACCUGUGGGUGCUGGUGGCGUGAUGAGUUAUGGACAAGCUCGCAGGCUGAACCCCCCAGGUCCCUCAGCCGCUCCCAUCACACUUGUGCUCCAUCCCCUUCCCCAGCUCCGUUCCCUUCUCUCAACCUGCUCCAGCGCCUCAAGGCCUUUCUUGUCCUGAGGAGCAGCCUCUUUCCCUGCUGUCUCAAAUUAUGCGUCUCUCCUUCAUUCCUCUCUCUUUUUGCUCCUCCUGGGUCUCCUCCUCCAGUCCAGGGCUGCAAUUAAAAGUCCAUGUCUCUUCCAUUUUCCCAUGGAGAGAGUCACAGAGAGUCACCCCUGCCAGAGGGGGGAUUUCAAACCUUCAUCUGUGAUGUGUCUCACCUCCAGUCCUCAGCCUUGCCUAAACUUUCCCAGCCCUUUCUUGUGGCUGGGAGGAGAGCUCUUCUUAAGAUGCAUCAUCAAGACACUUGGGUAAAUCUGGAAUGCGGGUGCCGUUUCCAGCUACGUGUGUUUCCCUGGAGCAUUUGGCUGCUUCCUAAUGGGAAAACUGUUUGCUAGGCUGGAUCCAAGGGCCUAAAGCUCUGAGCUCUUUGAAAAACAUUAUGCCUGAAUUUACCAUCUGAGGCAGGUCACCUUGGUCUCACUGCUUGGUGCCUCCACCUUCUCCUGAUGGUCCCAUGGUAGCUGUGGUACCCUGGUCCAACCUCAGAGAAUGGAGAUCUCCAAACCUGGCACUCAAAGGCUGCUCUUGGCAUCGUCUUAGGCUUGGUCUAAGGCUUUGCAAGUGAGCUUAGUGCCUGAACAUAGGAAUGGAGGUGUUGAUGGGGUGUCUGCAUCUUGCUCCUGCACUCCUGGAGAUCCAGCACUUCUCUUCCUGCCAUUGCGAAACACACAGGUUUUCCUCUAUCACGUAAAAAAGUGAGUUGUUAUUAAUGUGCCAGAAAUCGGGCAGGGGACACAGAAACUUUCUGUGGCUUUGUCCCCAAGUCAGACUGUGCCUGAAAUAACUGCGUGGCCUUUGGAGCUGCUGCUGUGCUGGAAAACUGGUUGUUCGUGUUCGAUACCAAAACCAUAUUCCAGCACAUGGCUCUGGGUCCCCACCACUGGCUGGGCAGGGAUGUCAGAACCUUCACUCAUCAGAGCUUGAGACAUCAAUGUCACGAACCGCAACCAGAGCAGGGCUGGGAGGACUCUACAAACUGAAGCAGCGUUUUGGUUUAAAAAUUGAAAUUUCCAGGAUUUCAUGGGCUGGAUUUGAACAGAAAUGCCACAGGCAGAGCUGCCAACCCCAAACAUUCAAAUACCAUGAGUCAGCUCCCCCAAACCCCCCAUCAACUCUCCCAAGUCUCUUUUCCUCCCUGGGCUUUUUUUUCUUUUGAACUGUGAGGUUAAACGUGUUCAGAUUUUCCAGGUUCCUCCAUUUCUUUUCUCCUCCAGCUUUCAGGAGGGCUAGAAACGUAACUGUUUUUUUGGGUGAGGGGUGUAUUUCUAAAAGGAAGAGGAGAUGAAACUCUCUAAAUCCCUGGAGCAGCGCCCUAAGUAACGUUAUUAUGUGACUUAUGGUAAAUUUGGGCAAUUUGGCAGCACUUCAGUCCGGCUCCUGAUUUAAUUGCCUGCAGAUCCUGCCUUGUCAUUAACACAAGAGGUCAAGAUUCUGGCAGGAGUUCUGUGAUUUGCGGAUGCAAACUUCGCUUAGAAAAACACCCCUGUCUUUGCCUUGGAGCGAGCCCUCCGUGUUCAUCCAGCUGUUACAGCUGUGCUCCCCUCUCCAGAGCUCCUUCAGCCAACUCUGCUCGUCCUUGAUUCGCGAGGUGCCUUUUACAUUUGGCCAAGUACACGCUGCAGCAGCAACCGAGCAUCCUAAAAGCUCCUAAAAAUUGGUAUAUUUUAAUAAACGCCCUGCAGGAAAUGUUUUCUCCCUCAAAUGCUUUCAGGGGAAAGAAAGCAGAGAGGAAGAGAUGGGAGUAGAGACCAAGAAGCAUCCAGCAAGUUAUUUGAGUAAAGAUGCAUCCACCACCACUCUGGCCAACCUGGGACAGGCUCUCACCACCCUCAGGGACAACAAUUCCUUCCUCAUGUCCAGCCUGAAUCUCCCUCCUUUAGUUUAAAACCAUCACCCCUUGUCCUAUCACAACAGGCCCUGCUCAGAAGUCUUCGCCAUCUUUCUCAUAGGCCCCCUUCAAGCAAAGUAGAGUUUGAGUCUUCCAGUUUGACCCUCCAGGGAGACUCUAUUGCACCUUUCCAGACAUAAAAGGGGCCUGUGAGAAAGAUGGGGACAGACUUUUGAGCAGGGCCUGUUGUGAUAGGACAAGGGGUGAUGGUUUUAAACUAAAGGAGGGAGAUUCAGGCUGGACAUGAGGAAGGAAUUGUUGGCCCUGAGGCUGGUGAGAGCCUGUCCCAGGUUGGCCAGAGAGGUGGUGGAUGAACCAUCCCUGGAGACAUCCCAGGCCAGGCUGGACGGGGCUCUGAGCAACCUGAGCUGGUGAAGAUGUCCCUGCUCAUGGCAGGGGGGGCACUGGGGGAGCUGGGAAGGUCCCUUCAACACAAACCAUCCUGCGAUUCAUUGGUUACACAGACUUUAAAACCAGCUUCAUCUCAAGGAGUGGUUAAUCCUUUUACGGGACUUGAAAGAGAUUUCUAACAACAACAACAACAACAACAACAACAAAUAUUCUGGUCGUCUUCAGACCUCCCUGAAAAUCAUAGUUUGGGAAUGAGGAUUUCCUCAAAACUAGAGGUUGCUCCUGACGACUUGCUUUGAGCCCUUUAUGAGUGUUUUUACAUGAAAAUACUUACUACCUUCUGAUAGGACAACAUUACUCCAAAGUGACAGAACUUGGGUAGGCAGCACUGAGCAUUAUUCUUCCCCUAUUCCUGGAUUAUUGAAGGGAUGACUUGCGACUGCCACGAGCAAUGGUAGGGAAUCCUCGUACUCCCCGUCCUGCUCUGUGCUGACAGCGGUCGGUAAGACUCACAGAGCACCAUGACUGAUGUUUUGAGCAGCGUUACGCGCUCAGCAGCCACAUCUGGCAGGGCACAGAGGCUCUGCAGAGCCCAGGACGCCGGACCGCGUUCCGGAAAGGGCGGUGUGCUCUGUCACAGCUGGAGGAUGCAGCUUGUGACGGGUUUGGUGCCUGGCAGGGCCGAUGGCUGCAGACGGGCAGUCUCUGGCACCCCUGUGUGGCCACCUAAACAAUCACAAGCAUUGCUGAAGACUCUAGGGUGUCAAACUCAUUUUCAUCGGGGGCCACAUCAGCCUGGCGGUUGCCUUCAAAGGGCCGAAUGUAAUUGUAGGACUAUUUACACACUACUAAAAUUACAUUUAUACUCUGUUUCAAGAGGUCUAUGUAAACUAAAUAAACUAGAUUUAAGUAUCA